AUUGAACGCUGGCGGCAUGCUUUACACAUGCAAGUCGAACGGUAACAGGCCUUCGGGUGCUGACGAGUGGCGAACGGGUGAGUAAUGCAUCGGAACGUGCCCAGAGGUGGGGGAUAACGCAGCGAAAGCUGUGCUAAUACCGCAUGUGAUCUGAGGAUGAAAGCGGGGGACCAGGAAGAAAGGUUUGGCCUCGCGCCUUUGGAGCGGCCGAUGUCAGAUUAGGUAGUUGGUGGGGUAAAGGCCUACCAAGCCGACGAUCUGUAGCUGGUCUGAGAGGACGACCAGCCACACUGGGACUGAGACACGGCCCAGACUCCUACGGGAGGCAGCAGUGGGGAAUUUUGGACAAUGGGCGCAAGCCUGAUCCAGCAAUGCCGCGUGCGGGAAGAAGGCCUUCGGGUUGUAAACCGCUUUUGUACGGAACGAAAAGGCUCUGGCUAAUACCUGGGGCUGAUGACGGUACCGUAAGAAUAAGCACCGGCUAACUACGUG
rnacentral:rRNA from 1 species